UACGAAGGGGGCUAGCGUUGCUCGGAAUCACUGGGCGUAAAGCGCACGUAGGCGGCCUCUUAAGUCGGUGGUGAAAUCCUGGAGCUCAACUCCAGAACUGCCUUCGAUACUGGGAGUCUCGAGUUCGGGAGAGGUGAGUGGAACUGCGAGUGUAGAGGUGAAAUUCGUAGAUAUUCGCAAGAACACCAGUGGCGAAGGCGGCUCACUGGCCCGAUACUGACGCUGAGGCGCGAAAGCUAGGGGAGCAAACGGG
rnacentral:rRNA from 1 species